CUACGGUCUCAGUUCAGAUUGCAGGCUGCAACUCGCCUGCAUGAAGCUGGAAUUGCUAGUAAUCGCGAAUCAGAAUGUCGCGGUGAAUACGUUCCCGGGCCUUGUACACACCGCCCGUCAAGCCAUGGGAGCCGGGGGUACCUGAAGUGCGUAACCGCGAGGAGCGCCCUAGGGUAAAACUGGUGACUGGGGCUAAGUCGUAACAAGGUACC
rnacentral:rRNA from 1 species